GGCUCGUUGGUCUAGGGGUAUGAUUCUCGCUUAGGGUGCGAGAGGUCCGGGGUUCAAUUCCCGGACGAGACCU